UGUAUAACGUCACGAGAGCCAGUACCGUUGCCAAGCAGUAAUUAGCAAUGCUGAGACGAGGAUAGGAAACGGAUCCAGGAGUCGAAAGAGAGAACAAAUACUCAAGUGCGAGUGUCCGUAUGGAAACAGCAACUAAAAGCAUGUAACAGGUCCCAAACAAGGAAAGUGUUAUGAGAAUAAACAAGCAGAUUGAACGGCUGGGUAGGAGAUAGGCCGUUAAAACAGUUGCUGCCCAAAAAGUUAAAGUGUUGUAUAACCAAAACAUUGUGGACACGUCUAGUAUAUUUUUAAAUUUUUCUUCUUCAGCGGGUGGAGGAGUUGGUGCGGGUCCAGUGCUGGUUGAACCUACAGAUGCGUCAUACCUGAGAUGGAAAUUCCGGGAAUUUGAAAUGGUAUCAGGCUGCUUUGGAGGGUUCAAAGUGGCAGUGUAUGUGGCUGUUAUAAUUAGCACUGUGACCACUAAAAAUGUGUUACGCAUCUCAUGUGGGAUUCCCUUCUUUCCACGACUUGCCAUUGUUGCAAAUUUUUGAAGAACUGACACCUUUCCUUUUAAAGAUUCGAUGUGGACUGAGGUUUUGGGAAGCGAGGAACCACUCAAACCUCCUGCUUUGCUUAUCAUGUCUUUAAUGGACGCCUUAUAGUCCACUUUCCCUUCAACCAAUGGGUAUUGUGAUGGGAUAUCAAGUGCAGUCAAUCCCUCCGCAUUUUUGGCAUUGAUAUGGUCACCACACAAGCGUUCCAGCAGUACUUUUACCACCUGUUAAUUAGAAUAUUCAUACAAGAGUAACCUUUGAGUAUAUAUAUAUACAUAAAUAAUUUCACUAGCAAAAUUAUCAUACCUGAGGUCUGUUUCUGAUAGCAGCGACAUGUAAAACAGUGUUGCCAUCAAUGUCUGCCCAACUCAGUAGUUCUUUCUCCCAACGGUUGGCAGCUUUAUGGCGGCUCCUUAUAAGCCACCCCACCAAGACUUGGAAAGCUUCAAACCUGUCAUUUUUUACGGCAAGAUGGAAAACCGUCUCAUCUCGAACAGUCACAUCUUCAAUAGCCUCGGGGCAAACCUCAAGGAACUUGAUCAAAAAAUCAACAUUUCCAUUUUGAACCACAUGAUGCAAAGGAGUGAAGCCCUCCCGCCCUUUGACACGAACAAGGCCUUCAUCAAACCUGAGGAGUCGAAGCACUGCUUGAGUGUGUUGAUUUUGCAGAGCCAAGUGCAUGGGGCUAAACCCAGCUUGGUUUAGCUUUCUUGCAAACGAUGGCUUUAAGUUGAUCAUCUCCAUCAUAAAAUCAAUAUGCCCUGCAGAGGCUGCUACAUGCAAAGGAGUAUGGAAAAAAGGUACAUCAUCGAUACGCUGAAAAACAUAUGGAUCAUUCAGAAUUAACUCAUACAAGAUGUUUAUGUCUCCUGUUUGUGCAGCACCUAUCAUCCUCUCAUCCAUAGCAAGGUGCGGAAAUUUGCAGAAUAUAGAAAUGGAGUGAAGAAAAAACGCUUUAGCAGACGAUGUGAUUAUGUUAAGGAUAUACUGAAGUGUUUGAUUAUUUUUUCCAGAUGGAGUGUGUGACAUUUUAUAGCACUUAAUUAUUUUGGAUUUAUAUGUGAUGUCAGCCACUACACGUAUACAUGUGAAUGUCACCUAUUAGAAAGAAAUAGUAAUUAUAUUUAGUAAUUAAAUUCAUAUUUAAUAUAUAUUUUUAAUCUAAUUUUUUAACUCAAUUUAAUUUUAGUUAAAACGUUUAAAAACAUUUAUUUAAUUUCUUUAAUAUAUUAAAUAAAUUGAAUUAGAGAAUAUAUUAAAUAUGGAUGAAUACUAUAUCAUACUAAUUUUAUGUCUCUAAAAAUUAAUAAGGUGUCAUUAUUUUAUUGGUGCUUAAAAAAUUAAAAUAUUUAGAAUCAUCCUAAUAUAAGUUAUUCUAUUAAUAAUAAUAUUUUGUACUCCCACGAGUAAGUUCAAUAGUUUGACAAAUAUCUUAUAAAAGUAUAGUAAAAUAUAAAAAAAAUUAUUUAGUGACUUAAUUUUUUAAGAACAUUUGAUAAUUUAUAAAGAAAAUAAAUAAUAAUUUUUUUCAAUAAAAAAAGUGUGAAAAAAUGAUAAGUAGAUAAUAACUAUUAUCACUUACAACAUGUUUGGAUUAAAAAGAUAGAAAAAAGGAGGGAAAAUUAAGUAAAAUGAGGGAAAGAAAAUUCGGUUUCUUUGUUUAAGUUAAGUAAAUAUCGUAUUAUUAGAUUUUAUAUUUUAGGGUCUGUUUGAUUGAAGGAAUUGAUUUUCCGGAAAAUCAUUUCCAACUUUUCCAGCAUUUGAUUGGCGGAAAACAUUUUCCAUUUGGAAAAUGAACUCCAAAACAUGGGAAAAUGGGUUACAUUUUAGGGAAAAUGUCUUACCCUUUCAAUUUCCGUAAGACAUUUUCCGUGCUCUCCUCUCUAUCGCCUCAUUCAUUCCUUCCUUCAUUUCCGGUAAAAAAUUGUUACUGUUUAUCGAUUUUCUAGUAACUUGUUUUUUUAAUUAUUCAAUACUUGUUUUUUUAACACAAUUACAAAUAAUUUAUUUGAUAUUAAUUUUUUUCAAUUUAUAAUGAUUAAUAUUGUAGCUUAAUAAUUGAGUAUUAUUAUAAAUAAAUCAUUGCAAUAUAUGUAAAAAUAAUUUAAAAUAUAAAAAAUUAUUAAUAUAUAUCAAUAUAUGUAAAAACAAUUUUUUCGAAAAAUAUUUCCAAGAAAUCUGCCAAACAGCCGAAAAUAUUUUACACAGAUUUAAUCAAACACCAGAAAAUAUUUUCCACUAAAUCAUUUUACAGAAAAGUAAAAUAUUUUCCCGAAAUCAUUUUACGGAAAAUAUUUUACUGGCAAUCAAACAGACCCUUAGAUUAUUAUCUCUUCUUCUUCUUCUUCUUUUAACUUGUAACCAUCUUAUUUUUAUUUUUUAUUUGUUUAGGUUACUAGAAAUAUUUAAUUUUAAAUUUGUUUGAUAUAUAUUUUUAAAAAUUUUAACAAUAUUUUUUAUUAACUAUUUUGUUAAAUUAUUAGGAAUCCUUCAUUUGUAAUUUGGUUAGGAUAUAUUUUUUAGUUUGAUCAAAUAAGCUUAUUUAAAAAAAAAGAGAAUAUACCAAUAUAUUAUUGGUUAACAUUUUAAUUAUUAUUUUAUAUAGACUAUUGAUAUUGUUCUAUAAUUUUAAUUUGCUGUGAUUUAAUUUUGUUAUUAUAUAUUAUUUAUGAACUGUUAAAAUUAAAAAAUAAAAGUAAAAUAAUUCAUUUUCUUUCCUUUUCACAGUUUAGCAAAACAAGUCCACAAGGUCGCCCCAUUCAACAAAAAUUAAAUUGUUUAAAUAUAUAUAUGUAUAUAGGGACUAGUUUUAACAAAUGAAAAAUAUAGAAAAACUACAUUAAAAAAAUGGAGAAUGGAGGAAAACAGAGGGAGAAGCAGAAGACAAUAAAAAAUAAAGGAAAGUUAAAAGAACAUAAAAAAAAUUAAAUUGAAUUGCUCAAAAUGAAAAAAAUAUGGGGAUCAGUUGUAUAAAUCACCCUAAAUUUUUUGUUUGAAAGAUGAUUUAACAUGUCACAUCAGCUUAUCGUUAUAUGGUUAACGGAAAUUAACAGCUCAGUGACUAAAAUGUUACAACGCGAUAACGUAAGUGACUAAAAUGUAACAUUUCAAACAUAAAUGACUAAAAUGUAAGCAAAAGUGACUAUUUUAAUAAUUUACCCUUACAUUUAUCUAAACAUACUCUUAAUGUAAACAUUUUUCAAUUAUUUUUAUUUCAUUUUAUUUUUAACCAUUAUCCAUUAUCCUUACUUUAAAAAGUAUAAUUAAUAAAUCGUAUAAUUAUUUUUCAAAAUUAAUUUUAAGUAAUACACCAAAUAGAUUUUAUAACUUAAAUUUAAUAUUUAAGUUUAUAAUAUUUUUUUAUCAAACAACAUUUACUCCUAAGUAAAUAAAUAAAUAAAGGCCUUGUGUAAUUAAGAAAGUUGAGAAAGGGUUAAUCCUCACAUGGAAAAAAUUGGCUACAAUAAUGAAGGAAAGAGAAAAACACUAAGGAAUAUCCAAUAAUUGGGAGGCAAUAUGUCAAUUAUGAGCAUACCCCAUACUGUCAAUGGUGAUGGAUGAAUUGUCUACUAUACAUGGAUUUUGUUUUCCCUUUUUUUUUUCUUUUUUUUUUGUUCUUGUCCUGUAUUAUUUGGAUUUGAGAUCCCAAGCUAUGUAUGUCAUCACAUUUUAAAUAUAUAUAUAUAUUUAUUAUGUAUUGAAUAUCAGUUUUAUUGGUAUAAAUAUUAUUGUUAAUGUAUGAGAAUAUAGGUUCAAGUGUGCACUACACCAAAACAGGCUUUUAGCGGCGUUUUGAGCGAAGACGCUGCUAAAAAUCGAGAAAUAGCAGCGUUUUAGGAAAAGCGCCGCUAAAGAGUGAGCAUUAGCGGCGUUUAAGUAAAAGUGCCGCUAAAGAGUGAGCAUUAGCAGUGUUUAUAAAAAACGCCGCAAAUAAUACACCUAGACGGUGCCGUUUUAUGUCCUUUCGGGGGAAUUAGUGGCGUUUUUUGUAAAGCGCCGCUAAGGCUAAGACUUUUAGUGGCGUUUUUUGAAAAUCGUCGCUAAUCUAGGUGUUUUAGCGGCGUUUUUUGUUUAUGCGCCGCAAAAAUAAUUUAUCUUAAUUGAACUAUUAUUUAUAUUGUUUAAAUCAAAUUAAACAUAUUUCUAAUAGAAUAUUUAAAAUCUUCAAUAAAAAAUUACAGGUAUAAAUAAUUUGAAAUAAAACACAUGGAAAAAUUAAAAUAGUAUUAUUUAAAAUAAUUUUAAAGUUUGUUGGGUACAUUACUGAUUGUUUUUUAAUUUAUAUAUUAAAAAUUUGAAAUUAUUAUCGUAAUUAAAAGAGAUAGUAUUAAUUUAAAUUUAAAAUAUUGAAUUAAGCGUAUCACUAUAGUUAAUAUAGGGUUUUAGGUUUUAGGGGUAUAUAUAUGAUAUUAUUAAUUUAAGAUUUUAAGUCGAUUUAGGGGUUACUAUUUUAAGGUUAUUAUUAUAAUUGAUCAGGAGUAUAUAUAUAAUAUUUGAUUUAAGGAUAUGGUUUAAGGGCUGAGAUAUAAUGUUUAGGGGUUAGGGCUGGGGUUAGCACUUAGGGGCUAUUAAUUAGGAGUUAAUUAAGGAUUUAGGGUUUAGUUAGGGGUUGGGUUAGGGAACGUAGGGUUUUAGAUUAAUUAGUAUUGCCAAAUUAUAUUUUAAAUAUGUUCUUAUAUAUAUAAUUGUAAAAGAGGUAAUAAUAAAUUUGUUUAGGAUUUUUCGGUUCGGUAUAUGAUUUGGUUUCGGUAUAUUAUUAAUUUAAAUACGAAUUUGAAUAGUAAUGCUCAAAUAUAUAAUUCAUGAAUAACACUUAAAUACUUAAAUAAAUUUGUGAAUUUGAAUUGAAAUCAUCCAAAAUAUGCAUAUACCUGAGUCGGUAUCUUUCCUAUUUUGAUCACUUCAAUAAAAAAAUCCCAUAUAUAUAUAUUUAGUACUCCUUAUUUGUUUUCAUUAAUUUAUCUAUUUGAUGAAGAUCAAUAUAUAAAUUAGUUAAUUAGACAAAUUUAUUCAUUUAUCAAUAAAAUANNNNNNNNNNNNNNNNNNNNNNNNNNNNNNNNNNNNNNNNNNNNNNNNNNNNNNNNNNNNNNNNNNNNNNNNNNNNNNNNNNNNNNNNNNNNNNNNNNNNAAUAUUAUAAAUUUCAAAUUUUAUACAAAAAAAUAAAUAUUAUAAAGAUAAUAUUGUUUAUUGCUACUUUAUACAAAAAGUUUUUAGUAUUAAUUAUUCUUUAAUCAAUUAUAACUAUUUUAUGAUAUUUAUUAAAGAUUUAGGGAUUAUUUUGGAUGGCCGUGCUAUUUUAAGGAUUAGGGGUACAGAUUUAGGGUUUGGGAUAUAAGAGUUAUCUAGGGGUUUAGGGGUUACAAGUUAUGAUUUAGGGGUUAAAGAUUUAAGGUUUAGGGGUUUAGGGGUCGGAUAAGGAUUUUAGGUUAGUUUAGAUUAAUUUCUUUAAAUAAUUUUUUAAAAAACCAAUCUAAAGUACCAAUUGAUAUAUUUAAAUAUUAUUUUAAAUAGAAUUCAUAAAUAAGUUAAAAAAUAUAUUGAUUUAUAUUAUAUGGAUAUGGUUAUAUAUAUUUAGGUAUAAUUAUUUAUUUUGGAAAUAUAUAUAUAGGACCAAAUACAUAAGAAAUGAAGUAAAAAAAUAAUAAAAAAUUUUAAAACGGCGCCGUUUUCGAAUGAAUAGUUAAACUUUUAGUGGCGUUUUAACUAUUAAACGCCGCAAAUAUGGGAAAGCAGUCGUGGCGUUUGUACAAGAAACGCCGCAAAAGUGUCUUUAAAAUUUGAGUAAACGACACCAUCUGUCUACACGAUUUUUAACUUAUAAAAAGUUUAGAAUUAUUUACUUGAAACGUCACCAUUUGGCUUGUUGUACGUUAAGUAUUAGUGGCGUUUUUACAAAAAGCCACAAAAUGUACAAUUUGAGAACCAAAAAACAGCGCCGUUUCUGCAUACAGGUUUAAAUUUUUAUGGCGUUUUCGCAAAAACGCAGGAAAUUUAGGAAGCAAUAGCGGCGUUUUUCAGUAAACGCCGCAAAAGGGUAUUAAAAUAAUGUCUAAACGGUGCCGUUUCUGUACAUGAUUUGUAACUUAGAAAAAUUUUAGAAUUAUUUAUUCAAAACAUCAAUUAAGUAUUCGUGGCGUUUUUACACAAAACGCAACUAAUAAUACAAUUUGAGACUAGCAAAACGACGCCAUUUCUGUUUAAAACUUGAACUUUUAGUGGCGAUUUUAUAUCAAACGCCGCAAAUGGGUUUUAAAAAAAUGGGUAAACGGCGUCAUUUCUGUACAGUAUAUUUUACUUUGACAAAAUUUAGUGGCAUUUGUGCUUAAAACGCCAGAAAUAAUGCAAUUCCAGACCACGAAAACGGUGUCGUUUCUGUUCACAGCUGUAAUACGUAGUGGCGUUUUUAGGAAAACGCCGGAAAUGUGGAAGAAGUUGCGGCGUUUGUACCUAAAACGCCGCAAAACGAUGUUAAUAUAAUGGCUAAACGACAUCGUUUCCGUAACCGAUUUUUAACUUAUAAAAAUCUUAGAAUAAUAUAUUUAAAACGUCACCAUUUGGCUUAAAAUAGAUUAAGCAUACAGGUUUAAAUUUUUAUGGCAUUUUCGUAAAAACGCAGGAAAUUUAGGAAGCAAUAGCGGCGUUUUUCAAUAAACGCCACAAAAGGGUAUUAAAAUAAUGUCUAAACGGCGCCGUUUCUGUACAUGAUUUGUAACUUAGAAAAAUUUGAGAAUUAUUUAUUCAAAACAUCAAUUAAGUAUUUGUGGCGUUUUUACACAAAACGCAACUAAUAAUACAAUUUGAGACUAGCAAAACGACGCCAUUUCUGUUUAAAACUUGAACUUUUAGUGGCGAUUUUAUAUCAAACGCCGCAAAUGGGUUUUAAAAAAAUGGGUAAACGGCGUCAUUUCUGUACAGUAUAUUUUACUUUGACAAAUUUUAGUGGCAUUUGUGCUUAAAACGCCAGAAAUAAUGCAAUUCCAGACCACGAAAACGGUGUCGUUUCUGUUCACAGCUGUAAUAUGUAGUGGCGUUUUUAGGAAAACGCCGAAAAUGUGGAAGAAGCUGCGGCGUUUGUACCUGAAACGCCACAAAACGGUGUUAAUAUAAUGGCUAAACGACAUCGUUUCCAUAACUGAUUUUUAACUUAUAAAAAUCUUAGAAUAAUAUAUUUAAAACGUCACCGUUUGGCUUAAAAUAGAUUAAGUAUAAGUGGCGGUUUUUAUUAAACGCCACAAAAAAUGCAAUUUCAGAGUAACAGAACGGCGCCGUUUCUGUUAAAAGGUUUAAUUUUUUGUGGCGUUUGGUCUAUAAACGCCAGAAAUUUGGAAUAAGUAGUGGCGUUUUUUCAAGAAACGCCGCAAAUGUGUUUUAAUAUUUUUUUCUCAACGAUGCCGUUUCCGCAGAUGUUCUUUAACUUAGCAUUUACACUCGACAAAGCACAAAAAGCAAAAGCCAAGUGCAGAGGCCAAUUGGGAAGGGGAAAAAACCUAAGAAAAAAAUCUAAGGAAGAAAGUGGAGGAGAAAUCAGAAAUCAUCAAAAAGGAAGCAACGAUUGCGUCAUUCUUGACAGUAGUUGCAGAAUUUCUGGUUAAAAGGUAUGCGUUUAAUCCUUCUGAAGAACAUCGUCUUGAUUUAGGGUAAUUUUGGGUGCAUUGUGUUUUGCAAAUUUGGGGUUUAGGAAAAAAAUUUAGAUUUUAGGGUUUGCGGUUUAGGUUAAAACACCAUUCUUGUUUGGGAAUUUGGGGAACUUGUAAAUUAUUUAUUUAGCAAUUUAAAUAGAAGGGUUUAUUUAGGAAAAAUUUGUGUAUUUAGGGGUUGCCUGAAUACAAAUAUGGGUCCUUAACACAGCCUGUUGUUUCUCCAUUACAGCGAUUUUUGGAGAAGCAUAAAAGGGUAAGGACAGCCCUUCUGGUUGUGGUAGUAUUUGGUGCUUCUAUGGUCAUCUUUAUGGCUGUGGAUUCUAGAGUUUAAUCUCGGUUCCUCUUAAACAUAUGUGGCAACUAGGACAAUAAGCAAAACUAUUAAUCAUGACAGUAUAUAUGAUUAUGGAUGGUGCUAGUGAGCUUGAGAAUACAUUCCCUUUAAUAGCUCUACUAAUAUUUUGCAUAUGGACUAGACAAGAGAUACCAAUAAAUAACUCGUCUGGUCUUACACCUGAAAGACUCAAAUUAACACAGAUUUAAACCCAAGCUAGCUGGUGAAGGUUAAACAAACCAUUUUCCUAAAAUUUUCUUGGCUGAGCCAUUAUUCGGACCAUGCAAUCAUUGUUGCAAUAGUGCAUAAUUAUGUUUGAUUCGUUUAGUGUGCUUAUUUCUCAGCUGGACAUAGUUGAUCUCCCAUGACAGAGUUAUGGAUACUGAUAUCAGAAGUUCUUUAAUGAACAUAGUGGUGUCAUCCUAACUUCCACAUUACUUUGAUAACUUUAAUUGGUUGCAUUAUUCCUCCUAUCUAUAGUAUAUUGUUUGUGGUGGAUGGUUUGACAUGUCUCAGUGCUGAUGUUUCAUUAUUCAAAUAAGAUUUUUAAUUUUGGAUUUUGUUAUAUUUAAGCUUUAUACUAAUUUUUUCCUAGUACUAACUUACUUGUGUUUUCCUUUUUAUUUUUUUUUUGCAGUAGUUUGCUUCGAAGUCCAGGAAAUUGAGGUAUUUAUUCCUAUGUUUCCCACCUUGGUUUUCUUAAAAAAACACCUCCAAAUGUUUAAAUUUUGGAUUUUGUUAUAUUUUAUCUAUGUACUUUAAUUAUUAUUUUUGAGUUUUAAAAGGGAGUUUUAAUUAAGAAUUUUUUUUAAGUUGUGGGUAUCGGUUUUAAUUAUCAUUUUUGAUUUAUAUGUUGCUAGCUCAAUUUGCAUGUUACUUUGCCAAAUUUUUCCAUAACUGCAAGGUAUAAAUUAUGAUUGUAAAUCUUGUACGUAUUUUUUACCCAAGCAAAAACAAUUACGCAAAUUAUUAAAAUUCUUAAAUCACUUUAUAUAUUGGAGUAAGUGAAUAAAUUAUGGGCGAAUAGUGGAUUCGUUUUAAAGUGAACAAAUUAUCGAUUUUCAAUUUUAUGCCAAUUAAUAAAUUAUCGACGUUAGUUCUCAUUUAUGCAAUUGAAUGUUAAUGUUUAAUAAUAUAUGAUUAUUCAAUAAAUUGAUCUAUUAAUUGAUUGAAUGUCAAUGAAUUAUCAAUUUUUGUAAGUUAAUUUGGUUAAAUUUAUUACUUAAAUACAUUACUUACUAAAAUUUGUUUAAAUUUAUUACUUAAAUAUGUUACUUAAAUACAUUACUUACUAAAAUUUAAGUAUAUAUUACAUUACUUACAUAACUUGUUAAAAUAUAUUAUAAUUUUAAAAAUAAUUAUAAUUAAGAUACAUAAAAGUGCAAUACUUACAUCAUACAUUAUUUACACAACCAAAAAUUGAAAUUUACAAGAACUUACAUAACUUGUUAAUAUUUAUAUAAACUUACAUAACUAUCACAUAAACUUACAUAAUAUNNNNNNNNNNNNNNNNNNNNNNNNNNNNNNNNNNNNNNNNNNNNNNNNNNNNNNNNNNNNNNNNNNNNNNNNNNNNNNNNNNNNNNNNNNNNNNNNNNNNNNNNNNNNNNNNNNNNNNNNNNNNNNNNNNNNNNNNNNNNNNNNNNNNNNNNNNNNNNNNNNNNNNNNNNNNNNNNNNNNNNNNNNNNNNNNNNNNNNNNNNNNNNNNNNNNNNNNNNNNAUACAUUAUUUACAUAUUAACUUACAUAAGUUAUCUACAAGCUUGUGGUUAAACUUGCAUAACUUACAUAAUAACAUAACAACUUACAUAAUACAUAGCAUACAUAACUUACAUAACUUACAUAAUACAAAACUUACAUAACUUAAAUAUCUUACACAACUUACAUAACGUACAUAAUACAUAACUUACAUAAUACAUAAUAACUUACAACUUACAUAACAUACAUGACUUUGAUAACUUACAUAACUUACAUAAUACACAACUUGUUAAGCUUACUUAAUACAUAACUUACAUAACUUAUACACGUACAUAACUUACAUAAUUUACUUAAUACAUAAAUAUAUAUCAUAUGAUAUACUUACAUAACUCAUUUAUACUUACCACUCAACAACUUACCCUUGUAAUUUCUGGUGAAAAUCAGACGUCAAGAAAUAAGAAAUGGACCGGUCUUGGAUGAAUUUAUCAAGGGUAAGUGACGGUUAUCGAAAUGGAGUACAGACUUUUCUAAAUUUUGCAUUUCAAUAUGCAAGCCAGGAGAACAUGAUUCUUUGCCCGUGUAAGAAGUGUGUCAACAUAAACUCGCAUUAUCGUGAAGUGUGUCAAUAUGAAAACGAUGGGUUUGUUCGGGGUUAUAAACAAUGGUUUUUUCAUGGAGAAUGCCCGCCUAGUACUUCCUCAUCAAGGAUGGAUGUAUCUUAUGACAGUACUACUUACCAUCAGUCUGUUAGAGGGGAUGGCAUGGAAGGGAUGUUGCGGGAAGCAUUUAAUAUUCACAACCAUGGUUUACAGUCGUUCCCAGCCGACUUUGUGGCACCUGAUGAUUGUAAUAUCGGUGGAAAUGCUUUUACCGAACCUGAAAGAAGUGUACAUCAUGAAGAGCCGAAUGGAGAAGUGGCAAAGUUCUACGUGCUACUUAAUGACAUGAAUGAAGAACUGUUUGAGGGAUCAAAAUUCUCGAAAUUAUCUUUCUGUAUUCGUCUUUUCCAGUUAAAGUGUUUGGGAGGGUGGACCGGGAACUCUUUAACAAUGCUGUUAGAGUUUCUGAGAGAGAUGUUUCCGUUUGCAAAAAUCCCUCAAUCAUGCAAAGAUAUAAAGAAAAUGAUAAAAGAUUUAGGUCUUGGGUACACCAAAAUCCAUAGUUGCCCGAAUGACUGCAUGUUGUAUUGGGGCGAUCGAAGAAACCAGCAAUGCUGUCACAUAUGCGGCCAAUCACGUUGGAUAAAUAGAAACACAGAAGAUGGGAACGACGAUGAAAAUGAUACACUGGCAAGAAAGAAGCCGGUCAAGAUUUUGUGGUAUUUUCCGCUCAUACCAAUGCUUCAAAGGCUUUUCAUGUCGUCGAAGACAGCGGAGUCUAUGACGUGGCACCAUGAUGGACGAACCGAUGAUGGGAAGAUGAGGCAUUCAGCAGAUUCUUUAGCUUGGAAAUCAUUUAACAAUAAAUUUCCAAGCUUUGCAAGCGAUCCUAGGAGUGUAAGGCUUGGCUUAGCAUCUGAUGGAUUUAAUCCGUACAAGAUCAUGAGUACUGCGUACAGUACUUGGCCAGUAGUGCUUGUUGCUUACAAUCUGCCUCCGUGGAUUUGCAUGAAGCAAUCUUCCUUUAUCUUAUCUAUGAUUAUCCCUGGAGAGAAAGGGCCCGGGAAUGAUAUCGACAUUUAUUUACAGCCACUUAUUGAAGAGUUAAAACAAUUGUGGGCUGGUGUCGAGACAUACGAUCUGCUGAGAAAGGAGAACUUUAAUCUACGUGCAGCUUUGAUGUGGAUCAUUAAUGACUUUCCCGCUUAUGCCAAUUUAUCCAGUUGGAGUACAAAGGGUCGUUAUGCGUGUCCUUGUUGUGCUGCACAAACAUGUUCGCAAUGGUUGUACAAUGGGAAGAAGUUCUCUUACAUGGGGCAUCGUCGGUGGUUACCGGAAAAUCAUAGAUUUAGAUUUCAAAGUUCUGUAUUUGACGGUACUGAAGAGUUCAGAGAAGCUCCUUCGUAGACCAGUGGCUCUGAAAUCUUGUUCAUGUUGGAAGAUAUGAAUUUCAUUUAUGGGAAGAUGAACCAACCGCCAAACACGCAAAGAAGUAGAAGAUCAAACGAUGAAGCUGAUGAUGACUCUGAUGAAGAGGACGAUCCUAAUGAGGCGGACUUGUGGAAAAAAAGAAGUAUUUUUUUUGAGUUGCCUUAUUGGGAGCAUCACCUUUUACGACAUAAUCUUGAUGUUAUGCACAUUAAGAAAAAUGUCUGCGAGAACAUUGUGGGUACAAUUUUGAAUGUCGACGGAAAAUCAAAAGACAAUCUUCAAAGUCGACUUGAUUUAGUACAAAUGGGAAUCCGACCUGAUCGUCAUCCCAAUCCACUUUCGAAUGGGAAAUAUCGGUUGCCGCCAUCUAUUUUUUCAAUGUCGAAGACGGAAAAAGAAGUGUUCUGCACGGUGUUGAAGGAUAUAAAGGUUCCAGAUGCGUAUGCAUCAAAUAUAUCUCGAUGUGUUAGUGUUAAAGAUCGAAGAUUAUAUUCGCUAAAAUCACAUGACUAUCACAUCUUGAUGCAAGAUUUACUGCCAGUGGCUCUACGAUGUUGUAUGUCCAAGAAGGUGACGUCUUGUAUAAUUGAACUAUCCAACAUAAUGAAAGCCAUUUGUGGCAAAGUUUUGGAUGUUCAAGAACUUCGGAAGGUACAAGAUCGAGCCGCUUUGACUUUAUGCAACAUGGAGAAAAUCUUUCCACCUUUCUUCUUCACCAUUAUGGUUCACUUGAUAAUCCAUCUCCCACACGAAGCAAUUCUUGGCGGACCCGUUUUCUAUUGAUGGAUGUAUCCCAUAGAAAGGUGUUAAUUAAAAUUUUUAAAAUUUUCCUUCAUUCACCUCUAUCCUUUAGUUUCAAUAAUUAAGAAAUGUUAUAUAUUGUGUUUAGGUUUCUAUCCAAAUUAAAGUCUUACUGCCGCAACAAGCGAUAUCCAGAAGGAUCAAUUGCAGAAGGCUACUUGGCAGAAGAAUGUAUGACCUUCUGCUCAAGAUAUUUGGAAGAUGUUGAAACAAGGUUAAACAGACCAAAUAGGAAUGCUGGACUCACGGACCAUAACUUAGCCGAUACUUAUUUGUUCCAAAGUUUUGGAGAACCAAUCGACAAAGUUGAAAUUGCAGAAUUAGAUCAUUUAUCGUGGGUACAAGCACAUCGAUAUGUUCUGUUUCACCACGAAUCAUUGGAACCUUUACGGAAGUAAGUUCUACAAAUUUGAUAAAUAUUUAUCAAACUAAUAAUUGUUUAUCUUCUAACAAAGUGAACAUUUUUUUAACAUAGUGAGUACAAACAAAUAUUGAGAUCUCGUUCGCGCUCCCGAAGAAUACAACAUCGAGAUAUCAAUAAGUUGUUUACAAAAUCUUUUUAUGAAUGGUUAAGCCAAACGGUAUGCAGUUCGAGCUUCCGCUUACAAAUAAUAAAAUCUGUUUUCUCAUAACAUUUUUAAUUACUCAGUUUACUUUCCAUUCAAUAGGUUUGGAGUGGGAAGAACGUAAACGACGAAGUUAAAUGGCUCUCCCAAGGUCCAAAUCGAGUGGUUAAAAGAUAUAGUUCGUUCCUCAUCAACGGAUUCAGAUUUCAUACAAAAUAUCGCGAGAGGUUGAGGAGAAUGCAAAAUUGUAGAAUAGUUGUCAAUUCUACAAUUACAAGUUAUGCUAGUGCAAGGGACAAUAAUCCUGUCGAGGGAAAUAUGGAAUAUUUCGGACAUCUUACUGACAUAAUUGAGUUGGAUUACUACGGCAAAUGGAAAGUUGUCUUAUUUCGUAGUGAUUGGGCCGAUGUUAAUACAACUCAUGGAAUUAAGCAAGAUCAAUUUGGUUUUACAAUGGUGAACUUUGACCGAUUGAUUCACACAGGACAACAACUGAUAGAUGAGCCGUAUGUAUUCUCAUCUCAAGUCAAACAAGUUUUUUACUCAAAAGAUCCAACUGAUGAGGGUUGGUACGUUGUACUCCGUAACAUCCCUAGAGACUUGUUUGACAUGGGCAGUGGAAGUAGAGAUAACAUCGACGACAGAUCAGAAACUUUGCCCUUUCCAGAACAAAACUUAAACGAUAAUAUCCCUAGUACUAGUGCACAAUUUCAAUGUGUUCGUCAGGAUACCGAUGAAGAUAUUUACGAAUAAUGAUGUAGUAAGAUUUUACGAUUGUUUAAUUAUAAGUAUUUUGUCAUAAUUUAAAUAUUGGUCUUAUUAUAUAUUUCAACUGUUUUAUAUGUGCUGUUAUUGUUGUAAUUAGUUAUUAAGUUGUCAACUAUUUUAUGUGUAUUGCAGAUAAAAUGCCUAGAAGAAAAAUUCUAAGGGGAAGCAUUGUUCAAAAUGAUCCAAACACGACAGAAACAAAUAGUACUGAACAACAGACAGCAAUUGGAUCUUCGAAUGUUCCGAUUACAGCUGAUGAUCCUACAGAAGUUCAAAGUAAUUUUACAUUUAAUUUACAUGUGUGUUGACUUAUAGUUGAUUUUUUUUUCAAAUUCUUAUAUUAUAAUAUACCAUUUGUAGCUGAAAAUGGUGGGAUGCGCAGAGGUCGAGGACGUACGCUACUUAGAGAGUUAUACGAGUUAGAUCCAGUCGAGCGUGUCAAAGUUGGACGAAACAGUUUUGGUCAGCCUGUUGGAUCAGAACCUCGACUUUUAGCAGGAUACAUGGGCAUUUUAGCACGAAAUCCGAAUAUGUUGCCUAUCAACUACGACUCAUGGCAUCAAAUGCCCGAUAGCAACAAAAACCAAGCCGUCGAUAAUAUUAAGGUAACAAAAUGUUAAUGUCAUCUGUAAUGCUUGGGAAAUAGUUUCAUUUAUAUUUACUUUAUUAACUUGUUUUUUUUAUUUUUUGUAGACGAGGUUUGCUUUAGAGGUCUCGGAUGCUUAUGUAAAGAAGGCAUUGGGAAAAAGAUGGAGAGACAAUAAAAGUACUUUGAAGAGAAAUUAUUAUAAGACAAAAACAACCCUUGAUGAGAAAUUACAAAAUGUCCCGCCGGGUAUGUUGAGGUACCAAUGGGAAGAUGCGGUUAGAUUUUAGCAUUCGAAGAAAGGCGAGGUAUGACGUACUUCCAAACUAUUGUAAUUAUUUUGGUAAAUAGUAUUUUCUAUUUACAUACUAAAAAUUUCAUAACGUAGGAUCGUGAACNNNNNNNNNNNNNNNNNNNNNNNNNNNNNNNNNNNNNNNNNNNNNNNNNNNNNNNNNNNNNNNNNNNNNNNNNNNNNNNNNNNNNNNNNNNNNNNNNNNNUGUAGCUGAGGCGGAGGUAUUUUUAAUUUUUUAAUAUUGUCGAAUAUGUAUAACUUUCUAUUAAAUAAUAUUUUUACUACUAUAUUGUAGGAACUGUCGUCCGGUCAAAAAGUUGGACGCCUUCAACUUUUUGAAAUUACACAUAGGAAGAAAGAUGGAUCUCCCAUGACUCCUGAAGCUGGUGAAAUAAUGGUACGUUUACUUAAUACGAUUUGACUUGUUUUAGUUAUUUAUAGUGUUUAUUUUCUAAUGGUUUAAUUCAUUGCUUGUAAUGCGACUAUUGUUAUGUUGCAUAUGUUUUUUAAUAUAUAAUAUUGCGUUCCUAACUAUGUGAUUUAUUUAUUAGGAAAAACUAAAGGAUAAAAAGGUGGAGUACGAAGCGAUUGCUUCUAGUGAUAGUUCUGUUCAUCUUGAAGACAUUGAUAAUCGGAUUAUUACUGAAGUUUUGGGUCCUGAAAGGUAUGGUCGGGUUCGAUUUCAAGGAUCUUUUGUUAGCCCAACCCAAUAUUUUGGAUCCAGCUCCCACCAAUACAUGGCUUCGGGGAGUCAGGCUCAAGCUGAAGUUCGGAGGUUAAAAGACCAGAUGGCUCAGAUGCAAGCGACCACAGUUGAGGUUCAAAGGAAAUAUGAAGAACUCCAGCUACAACUUAAAGCAGAGGCGGCAGCGAGGGAAGCAGCGGCUGCAGCGAGAGAAGCAGAGCAGACCAAAAAGUACAACGAACUCCAGCAGCAGCUUCAGAUUAUGAUGAAGAUGUUUCAGUCGCAACUUCCGCCUUCAUAGUGUAUGGCAUAAAUAUUUUUAUCAUUUUAUCAUUUAACAUUUUUGCAAAAUAAUAUGAAUUCACUUUUAUUUAUUGAUAUUAAUAUUAUUUUAUUCGUUUAAUUUGAAAUAUUAUAUAAAUUUAUUGCUUUUGGCUAUUUUAGAUCUGGUUGCUUUUGAUUUGUUGUUACAGGAGGGCUGAAAAAAUGAAAAAUUUAAUAAAAAAAUCCCAAAAAUAGUGGCGUUUUUGUAUAAAAACGCCGCUAAAGACCGUGUUCUUUAGCGGCGCUUAGAAAAAAACGCCGCUAAAGAACAUGGUCUUUAGCGGCGUUUUUUUUUUGUAAACGCUGCAAAUGUUUGUGACGUUUUCCUUAGCGGCAUUUAGUGGCGUUAAAAAGCGCUGCUAAAGGCUUAAAAAAACGCCGCUAAAGACCUGUUUUGGUGUAGUGGUGUUAAAACGCAUUAUCCUCUUAUUUAUGAAUUAGGAAGUAGUUAUUGGUAGUUCUAGACAUUGCGUAGAAAAUAAUAGAUAUGAUGAGAAUCUAUAUUGAAACUUUUCGAAAAAAUAUAUUUAUUACACAUGAACUAAAAGAAAUUUCUUUAUGGGUAGUUCAAGAAUAUUGUUGAAGCUAUAAAAUAAAAAUUCAAUUGGAAAAUAGAAAUCUCUUUUGUUUAACAAAAUAUUAAUCAUUGAUUGAGUUAAUAUUAUGAGUCAAUCGGACACCAAUUUAAUUAAGAAAUUACAAAAAUAUCAUUCCAUAAUUAAAAUAAAUUAUAUUAUUUGAGGAUAUUUUAAUAUUUUUAUGUCAAAAAAAUCAAUAAAAAUAUAUAUUUAUUUUUCACAAAUAUAUUAUUCUAUCAAUUUUCAUCAACCAAAAAAAAAGUAAUUAAAGUAAAAUUUACCUUUGAUAUACCAGAUGAUUUCAAAGAGAAUGAUUAUAUCAAUGAGUUUAACAAUUAAAAAAUAUAUUUUUUUCAAAGAUUUUAUAAUAUCAAAAAUUUUAAAAAUUUUAUAUAAAAAUUAAAUAAAUAUUUUAAAUGAUAUUUGGACCAAUUUUAAUAAUUAGUUUAUAAUUUAGAGUUGUAUAUAAUAUGGCUGAUAUAUAUAAUGUCUUGGUCAAGUCAUGGUUUUAUAUAUGUUUAUUUGUGAGCCCUACACUCACAUCAAAUUUAGAUAUCACAAACAUGAUUUAAAAUAUUAUUAACUGUGAGCAAUUUAAAGAAAUUUAAUUUCUUUUUUACAAUUUUAAGUUAAUCAAUUAUUUGAUUUUUUUUAGGGGCGAAUUCAGAAAAGUUUUUUAGGGGCCGAAAUGAAUUUUUAAUUUUUAUUAGUCUAUAUAUUUAUAUUUUUAAAGGAUUAAAUUAAAAUUUUUAUAAUUUUAGGGGGGCCAAAAUGUAAUUUUAUCUCUACUAAUUUAAAACUUUAAAAUUUUUUAAAGGACCUAAAUAAUAAUUUUUCAUUUUAAGGGGGCCGGGGCCCCUACCAACCCUUUAGAUUUGCCUCUGAUAUAUAUAUUAUUUAUGUUUUGCAACUCAAAAUUUAGUCAUAUUAUCAAUAAUAUUUUAAUAUGAAAAAUUUACUUUUUAAAAAAUUUAUGUUGAACAAACUUAUUUAGCUUGUCUCAAUUAAAUUAAAAAAAUUAAAAUCAAAUUAGAAUAAUAAAAUAAUACCCAUUUACGCGAUUGAAUCUAAUACUCACCUCUCAAUAUUACACCUUUUGAAUCUUCCUAGAUCAUAAAAGGGGAAGUUAUCCUUGGCGUGUGUGUUUUAGUGCUCCUUAUUUCCUUUAAAAACAGAGUUUAUUUUUUCCUUUUUUAUAGAAAUGAAUUGAUAUUUAAACUGCAAAAGAAGAACCACUAUUUGAACAUGUAUAAAUUAAUAUUGUACGCAAAUAUAAACUUUAAUACCAAUUAGAGAAGUAAAAUAAGAUAUUGGUGAAUCAAAUUUAUUAAAUAAUUUAUAUACAGAAUGGAUGAUAUAAUAUUUCUGAAGUCUUCCCUUGGUUGACCAUAAAAGGAGAAGUCAUUGUUUUGUUUUUUGGUAUUUAUUUGUGACCCCUACACACACAUCAAAAUCACAUAUCAUAAACAUUGAUUUAGAAUUAAACUAUAUAAUAUUAGACCUUUUGUAAUCUUCCUAUUGUUGACCAUAAAAGGAGAAGUCAUCCUCUUCUGUCUUUUGUCCCCUUCAACUCUGUGGCUAAUUAUGUCAAAACAAGGUUUUUUUUUCCCUUCUUUGGUAGGAAUUAAAUUAAUAAAGAUUAUUGUAAUUUAAAAUCCAAUUAAAGUUACUAUUUGAACUGGUAUGAAUUAAUAUUGUUAUGUCUAACAUUUAUAUCCAAUAAUUUUUACUAUAGAGAAAAGAAGUAAGAAAAUAAUAUAUGAUGUAAAAUUGUUAAUUUGAGUCUUAACACAGUCGGUAUUUGUAUGUUGUUUAUGUAAUUUUUCUUUCUAGUUAAAGGUUGGAGAGGAGUUAGGGUGAAGCUAGAAAUUUCUUUUUUUGGGAGACGAAAUUAAGUUGUAUAUUUUUACAAGGGUUAAAAUAUAAUUUCACCAUUUCAAUAGCUUAUAUCUUUACAAUUUUUAAUGGACUAAAUCAAUAUUUUAUCAUUUUUAGGGCUAAAGUACAAUUUUACUAUUUAUUAACUUAAAAUUUUAUAAACUUAAUUUAAAGGGUUAAAUUUUAAAUUUCACAUUUUAAGGGGAGGGAUAGAACCCUGCUAGGCUCCCCUCUUGCCGCCCCUGAGAGGAUAUAAAGUAAAGCCAUAAGGGUCUAAAAUAUAUGAAUUAUGAGUACUUAUUACACUUGACCAAUUGCUUUUCUUCAAACAAAACAAAAACUAAUGCACAUGAAAAUGCAAAUUCACAUGCAACCUAGAUAUGCAUUCUAUAUACAAUGCAAUGCAAUAAAUAAAUAAACAAAUAUUAUUUAACGAUGGAGUUGCCUCUCCGUAAGCACCUUUGUUUAACAUUUUCUACUAGAUGUUUUUAAAUGUUAUUUCACCAUAGAAUGAUUCGGAUAACAUCUUGACUUAGUAAAAUUGAACAUUAGGAACAACUUAAAAGUCGAGGGAACUUGAGAGUUUUGAUCCCCUUUUGGUUCUUUAACCAACCAUUCUCACCCCUAAUUAUAAUUCCAAUACAGUAAAAGUACGUGAUUGAGUUGAAUGGAUGGUGGUUGUUUGACAUAAUAUGUAGAAAGUGAAAAAAUAGUUGAAAAUAAAUCAAGUAUUAAAACUAAAAGUUUAUGAAAGAAAUUCUAGUAUUAUCAAUUUUUCGUGAGGCUCAAAGCUAUUUGGAACAAAAAUAAAAUCAAUGUGUAUAGGCUUAACAAAAUAGCUAUUAUCUUGCAUUGUUAUUUCAUCCUAACCUCUUCCCUCAUAACUUCAUCUUCUAUUUUCUGUUCGACUUUAUCAAAAGUCUCAAGAAUUUCCUCCUCGUCCUUUUUAACUUCAACGAAACUUUCUAGGGAAGGAAGCUCUAUCGUGAAUGACUUCGGUUCUAGUCAAAGUAAAACAUAGUUUUUUUAGGUUUUUCGACUAUUUAUGCAUCAAACUUUUAGGCCAUUUUGGACAUCUUCCUAAUGUUUUUAGGCUUUAAUCUGUGAAAUAAAUUUAGAUAAAUCUUUCAAGUCACAUCAACAUUUUAUUAAUGAUUUAAUAAAUUAUUAAUAAAAAGAUUUAAGGUUAAUGUACAAAUUUGUCACUAUACUUCAAUUUGAUUGAUAUUUGAUAUUGAAUUUUAUUGCUUUACUUUAAUUUAAUUGAAUUUUGCCACUAAAGUAAGAUUUUUUUAUUGAAUUUUCUAUUCAAUUUAAUUUUAAAAUAACUUGAAGGCUAAAUUGAAUAAAAAUAGUUUUAUAUUUCGCUUUUAUAUUUAAUAAUUAUCCUCUCAUCCAUGGCAAGGUGCGGAAAUUUGCAGAAUAUAGAAAUGGAGUGAAGAAAAACCGCUUUAGCAGACGAUAUGAUUAUGUUAAGGAUAUACUGAAGUGUUUGAUUAUUUUUUCCAGAUGGAGUGUUUGACAUUUUAUAUCACUUAAUUAUUUUGGAUUUAUAUGUGAUGUCAGCGUCUACACGUAUACAUGUGAAUGUCACCUAUUCGAAAUUAAGAAAUAGUAAUUAUAUUUAAUAAUUAAAUUCAUAUUUAAUAUAUAUUUUUGAUCUAAUUUUUUAAUUCAAUUUAAUUUUAGUUAAAACGUUUAAAACAUUUAUUUAAUCUAAUUUCUUUAAUAUAUUAAAUAAAUUGGAUUAGAAAAUAUAUUAAAUAUGGAUGAAUACUAUAUCUCUAAAAAUUAAUAUAUUAUUAUUUUAUUGGUGCUUAAAAAAAUUAAAAUAUUAAGAAUCAUUUUAAUAUAAGUUAUUCCCUUGAUAAUAAUAUUUGGUAUUUCCACGAGUAAGUUCAAUAGUUGACAAAUAUUUUAUAUAAGUACAAUAAAAUAUUUAAAAAAGUUAUUUAGUGACUUAAUUUUUUAAGAAUAUUUGAUAAUUCAUAAAGAAAAUAAAUAAUAUUUUAAAAAAAAAGAGUGAAAAAUGAUAAGUAGAUAAUAGCUAUUAUCACUUACAACAUGUUUGGAUUAAAAAGAAGAAAAAAGGAGGGAAAAUUAAGUAAAUUGAGGGAAAGAAAAUUCGGUUUCUUUGUUUAAGUUAAGUAAAGUUGUUAAUUUUUUAUUAGAUUUUAUAUUUUAGAUUAUUAUCUCUUCUUCUUCUUUUUUUAGCUUGUAACAACCUUAUUUUUAUUUUCUAUUUGUUUAGGUUACUAGAAAUAUUUAAUUUUAAAUUUGUUUGAUAUAUAUUUUUAAAAAUUUUAACAAUAUUUUUUUAUUAACUAUUUUGUUAAAUUAUUAGGAAUCCUUCAUUUAUAAUUUGGUUAAGAUAUUUUUUUAGUUUGAUAAAAUAAGCUUAUUAAAAAAAAGAGAAUAUACCAAUAUAUUAUUGGUUAACAUUUUAAUUAUUAUUUUAUAUAGAAUAUUGAUAUUUUUCUAUAAUUUUAAUUUGCUGUGAUUUAAUUUUGUUAUUAUAUAUUAUUUAUGAACUGUUAAAAUUAAAAAAAAAUAAAAGUAAAAUAAUUCAUUUUCUUUCCUUUUCAUAGUUUAGUAAAACAAGUCCACAAGCUCGCCUCAUUUGAAAAAAAUUAAAUUGUUUAAAUAUAUUUAUCUAUAUAUAUAUAGGGACUAAUUUUAACAAAUGAAAAACAUAGAAAAACUACAUUAAAAGAAAUGGAAAAGGGAAGAAAACAAAAGGAGAAGCAGAAGAGAAUGAAAUAUAAAGGAAAGUUAAAAGAACAUAAAAAAAUUAAAUUAAAUUGCUCAAAACGAAAAAAAUAUGGGGAUUAGUUGCAUAAAUCAUCCUAAAAUUUUUGUUUGAAAGAUGAUUUAACAUGUCACAUCAGCUUAUUGUUACACGGUUAACAAAAAUUAAUAGCUCAGUGACUAAAAUGUUAUAACGUGAUAACGUAAGUGACUAAAAUGUAACAUUUCAAACAUAAAUAACUAAAAUGUAAGCAAAAGUGGCUAUUUUAAUAGUUUACCCUAACAUUUAUCCAAACAUAAGCUUAAUGUAAACAUUUUUUCAAUUAUUUUUAUUUUAUUUUAUUUUUUACCAUUAUCCUUUAUCCUUAUUUUAAAAAAAAGUAUAAUUAUUUUUCAAAAUUAAUUUUAAGCAAUACAUCAAAUAGAUUUUAUAACUUAAAUGUAAUAUUUAAUUUUAUAAUAUUUUUUUAUCAAACAACGUUUACUCCUAAGUAAAUAAAUAAAUAAAGGCCUUGUGUAAUUAAGAAAGUUGAGAAAUGGCUAAUCCUCACAUGGCAAAAAUUGGCUACAAUAAUGAAGGAAAGAGAAAAACACUUAGGAAUGUCAAUGAGCAUACCCCACACACAUACUAUUUACUGUCAACGGUGAUGGAUGAAUUGUCUACUAUACAUGGAUUUUUUUUUUUUUUUGGUUCUUGUCCUGUAUUAUUUGGAUUUGUGAUCCCAUGUAAAAUUCCAGUCACUAUUUCAUCGCAUUUAAAAAAAAUUAUUUAUUAUCAAUUGAGUAUUAACUUGAUUGGUAUAAGUAUUAUUGUCAAUGUAUGAGAACAUAGGUUCGAGUGUAUUAAAGCUCAUUAUCUUUUUAUUUAUGGAUUAGAAAGUGAUUAUUGGUAGUUCUAAACAUUGUGUUGAAAAGAAUAGACAUAAUCAGAAUCUAUGUUGAAAUUUUUCAAAAACAAUUAUUUAUUACACAUUAAUUAAAAGAAAUCUCUUUAUGGGCAGUUCAAGAUUGUGAAGUUAUAAAAUAAAAAAUUCGAUACGAAAACAAAAAUCUCUUUUGUUUAACAAAAUAUUAAUCAUUGAUUGAGUUAAUAUUAUGAGUCAAUCAAACAUCAAUUUAAUCAAGAAAUUACGAAAAUAUUAUUUUAUAAUUAAAAUAAAUUAUAUUAUUUGAGGAUAUUUUAAUAUUUUAUGUCAAAAAAAUCAAUAAAAAUAUGAAUAUGAUGGGAUUUGAAAUAAAAUCUUGAAUUUACCACUCAACCAAAACUUUAUUUUAUCAUAUUUUAUACAUUUUUAUUUUAAUACGCACAAUUUAUUAUCUUCAUCAGUUGUAUAUAUAUUAAUAAAUUUAUUGAUUGAGUUGAUAUCACAAGUCAACUCGACACUAACUGACAAUUGACGACAACACUUUGAUAGACAGUUGUAUUGCGUUUAAUUAGUAUUUUUAAUUUGAUGUAUUUAUAUGUUUAAAUUUUAUUUUUGCUCCCAAAUUAAUUUAAUUUUUUAUUUUAAUGCCAUACAUAUUUUAUAUAUUCUUAUAAUUAAUUAUCUUGAAACCAUAUGUUUCAUUAUUUACUUCUUUCUUUUAAGCAUGCAUCUGUGUUUCAAAUCUAAACAUGGUUGAUUAUGUUAAUUAAUGUUACAAAUUGAGAAAUUUAUUAAAAGUAUUGAAAGAUGUUGGAAGAUGCUAUUGAUCUUCUUCAAGUGGUUUUUCACAAAUAUAUUAUUCUAUCAAUUUUCAUCAACCAAAAAAAAAAGUAAUUGAAGUAAAAUUUACCUUUGAUAUACCAGAUGAUUUCAAAGAGAAUGAUUAUAUCAAUGAGUUUAACAAUUAAAAAAUAUAUUUUUUCAAAGAUUUUAUAAUAUCAAAUAUUUUAAAAAUUUUAUAUAAACUUAAAUAAAUAUUUUAAAUGAUACAAUUCGACCAAUUUUAGUAAUUAGUUUAUAAUUUAGAGUUGUAGAUAAUAUGGCUGAUAUAUAUAAUGUCUUGGUCAAGUCAUGGUUUUAUAUAUGUUUAUUUGUGAGCCCUACACUCACAUCAAAUUUAGAUAUCACAAACAUGAUUUAAAACAUUACUAGCUGUGAGCAAUUUAAAGAAAUUUAAUUUCUUUUUUACAAUUUUAAGUUAAUCAAUUAUUUGAUUUUUUUUAGGGGGCCGAAAUGAAUUUUUAAUUUUUAAUGGUCUAUAUCUUUAUAUUUUUUAAAGGAUUAAAUUAAAAUUUUUAUAAUUUUUGGGGGGUCAAAGUGUAAUUUUACCUCUACUAAUUUAAAACUUUAAAAUUUUUUAAAAGACCUAAAUAGUAAUUUUUCAUUUUAAGGGGGCCGGAGCCUUACCAACCCUUUAGAUUUGCCUCUGAUAUAUAUAUUAUGUAUGUUCUUUAAAUCAAAAUUUAGUCAUAUUAUCAAUAAUAUUUUAAUAUGGAAAAUUUACUUUUUAAAAAAUUUAUCUUGAACAAACUUGUUUAGCUUAACUCAAUUAAAUUAAAAAAAUUUAAAUCAAAUUAAAAUGAUAAAAUAAUACUCAUUUACUCGAUUCGAUCUAGUACUCACCCCUCAAUAUGACACCUUUUGAAUCUUCCAUGACAGAAGUUAUCCUUAGUGCUCCUUAUUUCCUUUAAAAACAAGGUUUAUUUUUUCCUUUUUUAUAGAAAUGAAUUGAUAUUUAAACUGCAAAAGAAAAACCACUAUUUGAACAUGUAUAAAUAACUUGUAGUUGAUAGUUAUAUACAGAAUGGAUGAUAUAAUAUUUCUGAAGUCUUUUGGUAUUUAUUUGUGACUCCUACAAAUUAUAUAUAAGAAAUUCUAGUGUUAUCAAUUUUUUGGAGGCUCAAAGCUAUUUGGCAUUGUUAUUUCAUCCUAACCUCUUCCCUCGUAACUCCAUCUUCUAUUUUCUGUUAGACUUUGAGAGUUCAAUUACGAAAAGGGAAGUGUUUUUUUCGGCUCUUAAUGUAAUUGAUAGUAGGCUAGGAAAUAAAGAUUAUUCGUUUGUUUGUUUAAGCCUGAUUUUGACUUGUGUACUAUAAUUAAAUUAUCACACUAAUAUAUUUUUAUCAGUUUGAUUUAUGUACUUUCAUUCUAUAUACUUCGUUAUCUUAUUUAUAUUUUUUAGAAAAAAAAUUUUCUAUCUAAUUAAAUGCUGUCACCUAUGAAAAAAUUUAAAAUUCCACUAAAGUAUAUAAAAAUUCAUAAAAAUCGUAAAAAAAAUAAAAAAAAAAGCAUAAAACUCUAAAGAAAUUAAUAAAAUUUUAUAAGCACAAAUUUCCAAAAAUAAAAUUAAAAUAUUUUAUUAAAAUUUUUAAAUUUUUUAAAGUUUCAUAUAUUUAUUGUUUAAAAAUUAUAUCAUUUUCAAAAAAAGAUUAUGAAUUUUUUUAGGUAUUUUAAAAAUAUUUUUCUAAGUCUUAAGAUUUUAUUUUUUGCAUUUUAUGAUUUCUUUUUUGGAUUUUUAAUGGUUUUUAAAAUUUUAUAAUAUUUUCUAAAAUGUUUUAACUAUUUUGGUCGUCCAGGUUUUGUGAAUGAAGCGAAGGGUAUCUUUAUUGUGGUGAACUUUUAAUUUACUCAAAACGAAGUGAUUUAUUACGUUGUGUGAUUUGCAGAUAAGUGUUAAAUAUGAAAUGUGUAAGGCCCAAUAUUUGCCCGGCCCGUAAUAAACAAACCAAAUCAAAAUUUAAAAAGUCCAAAGUCCAAAAUUACAAAAAUCUAUCAGACCCAAAAUAUAAAUCGAGCCCAUUUAUAAAUGGCCCAGUACAAACCCAAAUUACAGCUAGCCCAAUAGCCAAAACCAGCCCAGAUUUUUUCAUUUUGCAGAAACCCUAAACAGUUUCAGAGGUACCAGGCGCCGCAGCCAAGCCCUCGCACAUGCCCCACGAACCACGCUUCCAACGCCUCUCCCCACAUACACCUAGCCACGUCCCUGACACCGUACGGCCGUACCUGCAGCAAACGCAAACGAAAAACGCAGCAGAGAAAGAAACUGUAUUUUUCAUUUUUAUUAUUUUAAAACGAAGGGAUAUAAAACAGGAGAAACCUUUUGUAUUUGAGGGGGGAUUGAUACGCAAUAUCAACACACGCAUAUUGUAUCAGAAAAACGAAAUCAAUACAGAAGAAAGGUUUUCUUUUUCUCUUUUCUCGAUUGGGUUCCUUUUUCUUUGGCUUUUCAUUUUUCUGUUUUGCUGUUAGCCCUAUACAUAAGCAUAUGCAUAUAAUAAAAGGGAAAGGAAGUACUUACCUCGGUGACCCUGUCGUCGUUCUCAUCGGUUUCGUGGAUACCAGAGAGGCUAGGUAUGGUUUUAGCCUGAGAACGGCGCGAGGGGAGAGGGGAAAGGCAAAGUUUUUUUUCUGCUGUUUUUUUAGUGGCCGAAUAACCUUGUUUAGGGUUUUAAAAUUGGUUUUUUUGGGGUGUUGAAACGGCGUCGUUUGGGGCCUGAAUCAGUGGCCACCAAAACGGCGUCGUUUCGCGCUUAGUCCCUUGCCUUUAAAGCGCAUCCAAAUCAAUCUUUUUAUUUUUUUAGAUUUUGCCUGAUAUGUCACUGUUGUUUCAUUUUGGUCCCUUCUGCCAAUAUGCGUUUUGAAGGGCGGGGAAUAUUUCCCAUUUAAUCCCUCAUGUAAUGCGCAGGCUUCAUUUUGCCUUUUAAUUUCCUUUUAAUUUAUUUUCUUUUUUCGAUUAAGCAUUAAAUCCCUUUUAAUCUCUAUUUUAGUUUGUUCAUAUUAAUUAAUUUAAAUAUUUUGGUUCUGUUUUCUUUAAUAUAUUUCAGUUUAAUCUAAUGUUAUUUUAAUAAUUCAACUUAUUAGUAUAAAUUCAUUAUUGGUAUUAUUUAAAUCUAUUGAACCAUUAUUCUAAAAGUUCUCUUUCGUGUGUUAUUUUAAGUUUUCAUAUAUUAUUAUUAAAAUUUAAUACUUAUUAUUUUUAUGAUAACUAAAUAUAAUUUGUACAAUUCUAUAGUUUUAUAAUAUUUAUUUUUAAAUUUAUUGGGAUACUAUUAUUUUAUGAAGUAUUUGUUUUUAAUUAUAUUUUUCAUUUAUUUCAAACUUUCAUGUGUAUAUAUAUUAUUUUAAACUUAUUUUAAUAUAUAAUUUCCCUUCUUUUAUGUUACUUUUUUUGUUUUUGUUAUUUAAAAAAAAAACUUGUUACAUUUUAUUUAAUUCGCUUGUUACCCUUUUUUAAUAAUAACUUUUUAAUUCAUUUUGCUUGCUAAUAUGGAUGUUAGUAUUUGCAUAAUGUAGGAUAUAAAAUUGUUGCUCUUUUGUAUAUGAUAUUGUUUAUUCAUAUAUUAAAUUUUUGUUAUUCAUUAGUGUAUGCUUUAGUUUACGAAUAAUCAAUUCGCAUAGUACAUUAUUAUACGAUCGUUUUUAUUUAUUCAAAAGAUUACAAAUUACAAAGUUAUUCUAUUCAAAAACUUUCAAAAAUACUCGAAGUUUGAAAUCCUCGAGAGAAUUGAGCCCUAACGUAUUGGGUUCCAAUUUUCUUCGUCGAAUCUAAAUAAUUGAACAUUUUUUAACAUACAAAUUUCAAAUAACCCAUUCUCGGGAAUUCAACACGUUGUGUCCUAACGUAUUGGAUAUGACAUGUUAUUUUCUCGAGAUGAGGAUUUUAAAAAAAUAAUAAAUAAAGGCAAUGUUCGGUAUUUGGGAAUUUGGUGAAAUCGAACCCUAACUUACUGGGUUUUGAUCUUCUCUUUUGGCCCAAAUAAUUAGAUAUCCUUCUCAAAAUGCAUAGUUUUAAAAAUCAAAUUUAACUUCAAAAUAAAAGGAUUGUAUUUUAAAAUUUUUUCAAAAUCUCGACAUUAAGACAUUGAACAAUCAAUUUGGUACCAAUUUUGGGCGUAUCGAGGGUGCUAAUCCUUCCUCGUGCGUAACCGACUCCCGAACCUGUUUUUUUGAAUUUCGUAGACCAAAACCGUUGUUUUAAUAAAAUCAAAUCGUUUAUUAAAAACAACCACUUUUUAAGGUGAUCCGAUCACACCUUAUCAAAAAAAGAUUGGUGGCGACUCCCUUUUUCCGUUUUCGUUUUCAAAAUCCAAGUCGACCCCGUUUUCAUCAAAGAAAUGGUGUCUACAAAAUGAAUUGUUGAAUUUGAAAACAAUGGUUUAAUAUUGCAGGGAUUUCCAGCAUUAUCAUAAAUUUUAGUGAAUUUAGAGACGAAAUCAGAGUUCCACUGAGUUUUGUUCAAAUCUGGGGAUUUCAUCGUCAUAUAGGGUCGAUUUGGAUAUCUAGGAUACAAAGCUUCAUAUCAUUGAUGUUCGAUGGCCAUGGGUAUAUGUUGAUUUUGAGUUUAUCGUUGCCCCAUAAGUUGGUUGCACUAAAAAAAAUGGGUAUUACCAAUGCUAAAAAUUGUUACUAAAAUUUUAUUGUAGCAAUAAAAGUUGUUGCGGGAUUGUUGUGUAUAUUUUCGUUGUUUAAAGUAUACGCAACUCUACUCAAUUAUGUAAUAUCUACUCUUAAAUAUGGUCUAUUUAACUACAUAUUUAAGCACAUCAAACACAAAUUAAUAAUUUAGAAAUAUCAAACCAAGAAUUAAUCACACAUAAUUGGGAACAAUAAACUAAGUAUUUAUUGCAUAAAAUAAAAAAAUGAUAGAAUCCAUCAUAGGGUUCAUUUCCCUAGGUAUUUAGAAAAUUAGUUCAAGCUUGAAAAUAAAAACAUCCAAGAUAUAGUAUAACCGAAAGAAAUAAAAAAAUUCAUGAUAAUCUCCUAGGAAAUCAACUGAGAAUCUUCAAUCUUGACGUAAAUUUGUUUUCAAGAUGGCUUCAAUGGCAUUUUUCGAGUUGCUUUCUUGAAUAUUUUAUGACGGCUCUCUCAUAUAUCUUCUUAAUUUUUCACAUAUACGUUUCAUAAUGCCCCAAAAAUCUAAAAAUCUUGAUUUUACAUUGUUUGUGUGGCAAUUCCAUGAAAUUGACAUAGCCUACCACACACUCGUGUGGGUCACAUGACUAUGUGGUUUGCUCAUGUGAAAUUUAGAAAAUGUAAAAGAUUCAAAUAUGUAUGCAUCCGUAUAUUGCAUAUAUUGUUGGGAUGUUAGACAAACAUUUAAGCAACUCUAGUAUAGGCCAUUAGAUAACAACCAAGAGGGUUAUGAGGUAUCUUUAGAAAACAAAAUAUUACAUGCUCACAUAUUGGAUGUUUGAUAAGUUAGAGAACAUCAAGUAUACAAACUCCAAUUUUGAUGAAAUAUUGAUGCAAAAUUUUGUCACUAGAGUGCAAAUUGUAACAAUAGUUAGUAGUCUUUUAUUCCAAUUGUACAAGCCCAAAUUUGCCCGAGGCCCAAAAACCCAAUACACCCAAACCUCAGCCUAAUUACAAUAUUUAACUCAGCAGACCCAACCCAACACCGAUGACCCAAACCUCAAUCCAAUAGCACCUAGCCCAACAAGAUUAAACCCAAACCCGAGGCCCAAUAUCCAACCCAAAAAAAAUGAAGGCCCAGUAGCCCAAAAUGUUUGAGACUUUUUCAGAAAAAAUGAAACCCUAGCCUACUGCCUAACCCUAGCCGCCUUUGCCUCCUCUGACAUCUUCUAGUCUGGCUGCCGCUCGUAGCCUCUGCCACCGCCACCUCUGACGCCGAGCCGCCCAUCAAUCACCUACUCCAUCAACGUCAACACCUGCAAACAAGAGAAAAAGCAAUAGCAAAUAAUAGCAAAAAUAUUGUAAAAAAUGGCUAUAAAGCCAUAACCACCACUGUAAACGGGGUUCUUCCCCCCCUCCCCCCGAUUUUUGUAUAAAAAAAUAUUAGCAGGGAAAUAAAGGAAAAAAGAUUGAAGGUGAUUUUUUCUUUUCUUUUCUUUUCGGUUUUGUAGACCCGUUUUUCUGUUCUCUUUUCUUUUUUCGUUUACACGUAUGUAAAUAAAGGUAGUAAAUAAAAGGAAAGAAUGAAGACUUACCCAUUUCGCCUUUCGGUUACGCCGCCGUCGGGGUCUGCUCAUAAUUGAAAUCGGCCCGAAAGGUCGAGUUAGGGGGUCCUUUGUCUUGAUUUUCGGGCCAAACGAAUCUAGCCUUCGAUUGGGUCUUAAAACGGGGACUAGAAUGCCCAUUUUGCGCAACGCCGGCCACCGUCCACGAUGGCGCUAUGGCGGUGCUAAGAAGACCCAAAGGCCGAACGUUUGAGAGGGAUGAGGAAAUGUUUUUUUUGUUUUUUUUUAAAAUUAGUGGCUGAUAUGUUUUUUUUUUUGAAGAAAAUAUGGCUUAAAUACUAUUUUCGAAAUAGCAUAGUUUCAAUUUGGCCCUCCAGAUGCCAAAACGGCGUCGUUUUGAAAGGGGCCGGUUCUACUCGACCCGUUUGGCCAGGAUCCGCGUGUUUUAGCCUUGAGGGGUUAUUUAUGCGGGGAGUCCCUCCGCUUCUGCAGCGUAGCCGAUAUGAUCCUUUUUGGUCUUUUUGUUAUUUGGCCCGCGAAUUUUGCCUCUAUUUCGAUUUGGUCCUUAGACCAUGUGCUGCCCCUAGUCGAAACGCAGCAUUUUAGGACUGGGAAAUAUUUCCCCACAAGUCCCUCACGCUUUAAGCGCGUUUUACUUCAGUCAUGCACUAUUCCUUUUGUUUGUUUGCAUAUUUAAACCCCGAAGUUCGUUUCAAGUUUUAAUUUAGUCCUUUUGUAUUUUGUUUAUUUUCUUAUUAAGUAAUAAAUUUGAUGUUAUACUGUUAUUAUUAAUUAUAAUAAAUAUUAUUUGCUCAUUUUUACCUUUAGAAUUUCAAAUUUUAUCAUAUAUAUUUGUAUAUACUUAUUUUGAUAUUUUAUAAUUUAUAUCUAUAUAUCUAUAUACAUAUUUAUACAUAUAUACACAUACCUAUAUGUUUUAUAUUUUCAUAUAGUUUUUAUAUACAUAUAUAUUCUUAUAUGCACAUGCUUAUGUUUUUUUAUACUUUAUAUAUAUAUAUAUAUAUACACCUAAACAUGCAUAUUUUUUUAUAUGUACAUACAUUCAUAUAUUUUAUAAUUUAAGUACAUAUACAUAUAUAUGUACAUAAACUUUAUUAUUAUUAUUAUUUUGUAAUUUAUAUUGUUAUUAAUUGUUUUAUUUGAUAUUUAUUUAUUUGCUCAUCUUUAUUUUUAUGAAAUGCUUUAGUUCUUUUUACAUUAUUUUUAUGAAAUGCUUUAGUUCUUUUUACUUACUCAUUAUUUCAUGUAUAAUUGUUUUUUUUAUAUAUGUGUCCUUUUUAUUGUUGCUCGUAUUAUUUUACUUACAUUAUCAUAAUUGUCAUUCCAUUACGUCAAUUUUCACCCAAAUUCAAAAAAAAAAAUUUUAAAAAUAUAAAUAAUACUCGGUAUUUGGGAUCUUCGAGAGAAUCGAGCCCUAACGUAUUGGGUUCCGAUUUUCUUCGUUGAAUCUAAAUAAUCGAGACUACUCUUUUUUAUAUAUAAAAAAACAUAAAUAAAAGCUCAUUAUCGGGAAUUCAAUACGUUGUGUCCUAACGCAUUGGAUAUGAUACAUUGUUUUCUCGAGAUGAGGAUUUUUCUAAAAAAAUAAAAAUAAGGCAAUGUUUUGAGUUUGGGAAAUUCAAGAAAACGUGCCCUAAUGUGCUGGGUUUCGAUUUCUCGUUUAGCCAAAUAUUCUCUUAAAUCUUAAUCUAUGUCAUUUAAGUUUUUUUAGGAUUGUAUUUUAAAUCUCUUUAAAGUUUUCAGUUUUUCGACACUAAGAUAUUAAGUAAUCAACUAGGUACCAAUUUUGGGCGUAUCGAGGGUGCUAAUCCUUCCUCGUGCAUAACCGACUCCCGAACCCAUUUUUCUAAAUUUCGUGGACCAAACUUGUUGUUUUAAUAAAAUCAAAUCAUUUAUUAAAACAACCACUUUUUGAGGUGAUCCGAUCACACCUUAUCAAAAAAGAUUGGUGGCGACUCCCACUUUCGUUUUCAUUUUUCAAAACCCAAGUCGACCCCGUUUUAUCAAAAAAAUGGUGCCAACAGCUUGGCGACUCCACUGGGGACCCAAGAACGAGAGUCAAGCCACGAGUUGAUUAUUUUUUUAUUUUUUUGUCGAAAAUCAAAAAAUUGGUUUAAACAUACGAUCCUUUCGUUGCAUUUCAUUCGUCUUUAUUAUGAUCUUCAUCAUUAUAGUUUAUAAUUGUUGUGUUAGUUUAAGUUUUGGUAUCAAUCUGUACAUUGCAUUGCAUAACCGUUGGUCACACCCUUCUUAGUGGGAGUGAGAAACUACGCUUUCGUGAGGUUUUCACCUCCGCAUAGGAUAGUGAAUCGCUUCUGGUAUAUAUCCGUACCUAUGUUUUCGUGAGAUUUUCAUCUCCGCAUGGCCAUAGGGAAAUGUAUUCCCCUGAACUGAACUCAGUCUGCAUGAGCCUAUAAUGGGUCAGGACCGAGGAAUCUGCUGGUUCAGGUACCCUUACUUUAGAGCCGAACAGCAUGUAAUGAGCCCUAGGAGCCUACCCUAGGUAGAACCACACCAAAUACCUAGAGGUCACCUGAAAACUUGGUUUAAAUUUACGAUCAUUUUGUUGUAUUUCGUCCGUUUUGGUAUGAUUUUCAUUACUUCGGUUUGUAAUUACUCUAUUGGUUUGAAUUCUCGAUAUGUUUCUGCGCAUUGCAUUACAUGACCACUCAGUUACACCCUUUUAAGUUUGAGUGAGAAGCUACUCCUUCGUGAGGUUUUCACCUCUGUGCAGGAUAGUGGAUCACUUUUGGGAUACAUCUGUACCUAUGUCUUCGUGAGAUUUUCAUCUCCGUGCAGCCAUAGGGAAAUGUAUUCCCCUGAACCGAACUCGGUCCGUAUGAGCCUAUAAUGGGUGAAGAUCGAGGAAUCGGCUGGUUUGGGUACCCUUGCUUUAGAACCAAACCACAUGUAGAAGACCUUAGGAGCCCACCCUAGGUAUAACUACUUUGAACCCCUAGUAGUUACCCUAAUAUGUGCUCUUUUUGUUUUUUUUUCUUGUUUACUUUUGCUUUGUACUAACCUGUUUUGUUUUGGUUAUAACUGCAUUGCAUUUUCAUCAUAGAAAAGAGGUGUUGAUUCAAAUUUGAUUGCUAAAUAGAAAAGCUUGUCAUGGAAAACGAAUUUCUUGAUAAAGUAGAAUAUGAUGCGACUGUCUGAUUAUGGACUAAUUAAACACAACAAGAGAAGGUUAGAAGUUUGUGGAGGAAUAUACGACUAUGCUUCACUGCCUGAGGAUUCAAACCGACAAAGAUCAUUCGAGAGUGGUCACGAAACUAAAGAGCAUCGUAAGGGAGCAAUGGGUCGUGGCUCAGAUCAAUCAAAAAAGAAGAUAGUAAAGGUAAAUUUUGGGAAAUUCGCAAGAUUUGAUCCUAACAUCUGGAUAUGAAGAAAAGAUCGAUGUAUUCGCCAGGAAUAUGGGGGCAAAGCAGCAGAUGUAAUCUAUUUUAUGUAAAGAAAUUUGUUCUCUAGAAAAGUUGUUCUAAUGGAAUUGAAUUAGGAAUCAAUGCCUCUCUUUCUUUUUGCAUUCAUUUCACGCAUUUGUAUUACAUAACAUCACAUGCAUUAAGGACCAUCAAAAGACUCUAAUUGAGUAAAAUGAUUUCAGCUAAUCUAGAGAACCAACACCCUUACGGAAUUCGAGCAAAAACUAAAAGAAUGGACCAAAGAUUGGAGAGAUUAAAGCAAAGGCAAAUACAGAUGCAAGAGCAAUUUACCAAAUUUCAACAAGAUAUGAAGGAUCAGAUGCUAGAAGUCCAAAGAAAUCUAAUAAGUCAGUUAACCCAGUUAUUGGAUAGAGGGUUAGAAAAAGGAAAAAACCCAGUGGUCCACUUUGGAGAUAAUGAUGAAGACCCUGCUCAUUUUCUAGGUUUUACCCCAACAAACCUCCAAGCACAACCGAAUGCAUGUCCACAAAAGGUAAAUGUUAACAUCCGACCACAAUACCAGACCAGUACCUCGACACCGGUGAAUUUCACGACAGGCUCAGGUUACAACCUUAGGGGAAAUCUAACUAGUCCCGUUGUCCUUGAUGAUCUAGCGGGAACAAAACAGGUGAGAGUAGAGCUCUCAAAACCAUUUGGAGAUCGUUACAAACAGAAAGGGCAAGAGUGGAAUCCUCAAAUCAAUACUUCGAGGGCCCCGAGGAAGAGGAAAGAUGACGUGAAUGAUGUGAGUAGGUAUAAUGAGGGUUAUUCAAAGCUGAUUACAACAAGCCAGAAAAGGACGGUUGAUUCUAGCCAUCAGAUCUCCCAGAGCAAGAAUUCGGCACAAAGAAAAACAUUGAGAAGUCCAAAUUUGUACCAAUCCCAAUGUCAUUUCGGGAGCUGUAUCAUAAUUUAUUUAACGCACACAUCGCCUCCCCUUUCUACUUGAAGCCUUUACAACCUCCGUACCCUAAAUGGUACGAAACGAAUGCACAAUGUGACUAUCAUGCAGGAAUUACGGGGCAUUCAAUAAAAGAUUGCGUUACCUUUAAAAAGGUGGUUGAAAGGCUCAUCAGUAUAGGCAUUGUCAAGUUCGAUACAAAAAAAUCUGCUGCCUAAUCAUAUUGAUAAUCGGGGUGAAUGCGAUGAAUGAGGAAAUAUUAGGAAACGUUCAAAUUAACGCUGUGCGAAGAAACAACUGAAGAAUGGACCUUGUUAGAUAUUUACCCGUACAUACUUAGGGGUGUUUUGAGCAAUGGGACUGUGGAAGAGAUCCCUGUAUUUUGUAGAGCUAAUUCUGAGUAAUAUCCAAAACACGCUUAUUGCUUUAAGCCUAGGGGCAAUAAGAAUCCUUUUGUGAGAUAGGCUUAUGUCCAACAUCUUUAUUUCAAUAAAAUGCAUCUUUGUUUCUCACUUCGAGCAAAUUUUUAUUCUUAGAUUCUUUUAUUCUUUGGAUAUACUUUCGUCCCUAUAAUAGGUCUUCAGAUAUCAAUGAUAUGAGCGACACUGCUAUUGACUCAGAACCUCCUUUUGAGCAAGAUAUGUGUCCAGAUUAAACUUCAAGACUUUGGAGAUAACUGAGACUGUAGCUUAUCUCUUAGUUUGUUAAGGACGGGAGAACAAGAUCCUACCUUACAAAGAAUCAAUGGAAGCCAUGGCCUUUCUCUGGAUGGGGCACGGAUGUCAUUAGGCCAAUCUCGCCUAAGGUUUUUGACGGCUAUCUUUAUAGUCAUCGAUUACUUAACCAAGUGGGCAGAAGUUGCUUCAUAUGUCAAUGUCGCAAAGUUAACAGUUUGUAAAUUCUUGAAAAAUCAUAUGUCAGUAUGGAAUGUCAAAAAGGAACAUAUCUGACAAUAUACUAAAAGUGAACAACGACACAAUAUCAGAAGUUUGCAGUCUGUUCAAGGUUAACACAUUUUGCCCUAGAAUGCACGGUGCAGUGGGAGCAAAAACAAAACAAAAAAGAGGAAAAAUUACUGCAAUGGCAACACAUUGGCUUAGCGCAGUUUUGCUCAUUGAGGUCAAGAUUCCUUCCCUCCGAGUGUUGGAUCAGAUCCCGAUUGAAGAGAAAUGUUCAAAGUUAUCCGUCUGGGUCAAAUACACCAAAAACAAAAGAUGCGAGCUCACCAAAGAAGGUUCACCCUAAAGAGUUCCAUGAAUGGAACCUAACAUCGAAGAAAAUCCUCCCCAUACAAAAAGGACUUUAUAAGAAAGAGGAUCUGAAAAAGUGUUGAUUUCGACCAGAAAGGAUAGCAAGGACUUACCUAAUCCUAUGAGUGCGGAUUCAAUCAAAGAAUGUAAAAAACAAACAAACAAACAAACGAAAAGAGAAAGAAAAGAAAAGAAGAAUGAAAAAAGAAAAAGGAGAGGCCAAGAUGAAAACCCGCAAAGGGCGCCUUGAGACCAAAGGGGUUUUGAAUUGAAAACCCAGGAAUGAGUAGUUCAAAUUUUGAUCAAAGGUGGGGCAUACGGUGGCCUUGUCCUUUCUGAAUUAGCAAGAAGGUGAGACGCUACAUCUCAGGCCAUCAACAAAGUCUUUUAGGGCUUCUAGACACAUAUCAAGUUCAAAAGAGUCCUCAAGAAGCUUAUACAGAAAAGCUCAUGCUGCGAUAUCUGGGGCACCUGUUUCCAUUUUAUUCAUUUUUAUUUUGGCAAAAUAUGCCAUCUUGAUUAAUUUAUUCUCAUUUCGUAUCUUAGCAAAUUUACUAUCUUGAUUAUUUAUUUCAAGCUUUGUUCUUAAUAAAAUUUCAUCUUGUCCAUUGUGAUAAUCCUUUUCAUCUUAUUCAUUUUGAAUCUUAGCAAAAUUCGCUGUUCUGCUUAAUUUAUUUGUUUAGAGCUCUGCUCUCAAUAAAAUUUCAUCUUUCCCACUAUGAUAAUCUUUUUCAUCUUAUCUUAGCAAAAUUUGUUAUCUUGAUUAAUUUAUUCAUUUUGAGCUUUGUUCUUAAUAAAAUUUCAUCUUAUCCAUAUUGAUAAUCUUUUUCAAGCAUUUUACAUUGAAAUAACGAUUAAUUGACUGAAUAUUCAAGCAAAAGGAGUUUUGCAUAUUACUCUGAAAGUUUCUAAAUAAUACAGGAACCUGAAAUAGGACUAUUGUUUAGAGCAUACCAAGUUUAAAGGGUGAAAUGUCUAAGAAGGAAAAGUCUAAAUUAAGACUAUCCUUUCGAACUUUGUUGUCCAAGCAUGAAUUGAACAAAACGAAAAAAUGUCGAGAUGGUGACAAAGUUUCAAUGAACAAACGAGCAAUGAUCACCGAGUGAUAAAAAGAGGUUUUUGGAAGAGAAAAUUCCACAAUCGUGCAUAAACAUUUGGUAUGACACCUUGGGAAUGGUGUAGAAGACCAAAGAGAUUCAGAUACUGUAUCCCUGAAUUACAGUGGGAGAGGAUUGAGAAAAGUCAGAUCUUAUACUCAGUGGGAGGAAGAUGGCUCGAAUUUUAUGCCCCAAAAUUACCAUGGACUUAACCUUGAAGAUUACAACGGAUUGAACUCUGAAGAUUACAGUAGGGGGCAAUCUGGCUAAGUAAGAGAUGAGUGUUACCAGCUGAGCAAGAUAGCAUUCUGAUAUGUUGGUAAUAAAACCUUAUUGAAUAACGAGCAAUAACAACCCUAACAUUAAAAAGGGAUCAUUCUCAUGACAUUCUGCAUUCAUGCAAAUAUAAUUCACAUACACACCUAGUUAGGAGCAUUUGAUUCGUUCUGAUCAUAAUAUCCUAAUCAUUAGGCAUAAAUAGAUUCAUAAAAUGGACUUUACAGGUCAUGUUCCCCAGAGAACAUAUUAAUAAAGUUACCCAUACCCCUAAAGUUGCAAUGGGAUGAAUUGAAGUUGUCAUAUCAAGUCUUAUCUCUCAGAAAUUACAGAGGAGUGGACUAGAGAUAGCAGAUCUUAUCUUCCUGUAUUUGGCAGCGAAGUAGAUCGUAGAUAGCAGAUCUUGUCUUCCUGUAUUUGGCAGCGAAGUAGAUCGUAGAUAGCAGAUCUUGUUUUCCUGUAUUUGGCAGCAGAGUAGAUCAUAGAUAGCAGAUCUUGUCUUCUUAUAUUUGGCAGCGGAAUAGAUCGAAGAUAGCAGAUCUUGCCUUCCUGUAUUUGGCAGCGAAGCGUAGAUAGCAGAUCUUGUCUUUCUGUAUUUGGCAGCGAAGUAGAUCGUAGAUAACAGAUCUUGUCUUCCUGUAUUUGGUAGAGGAGUAGAUCAUAGAUAGCAGAUCUUGUCUUCUUGUAUUUGGCAGCAGAGUAGAUCGAAGAUAGCAGAUAUUGUCUUCCUGUAUUUGGCAGCGAAGUAGAUUGAAGAUAACAGAUCUUGUCUUCCUGUAUUUGGCAAUAGAGUAGAUCGUAGAUAGUAGAUCUUGUCUUCCUGUAUUUGGCAGUGGAGUAGGUUAAAAAUUACUGAUUCUGUCACCUUAAGCAGUAGUGGAGCAGAUUAAAAGGAUGGAUCUUAUCUCUCCGAAGUUGCAGUAGAACAGAUCGCAUCAAACUUUAUUGAAGCUACAAGUCUUAUCUCACUGAGGUUGCAGUAGAAUAGACUGAAGAUAGCAGAUAUUAUCUCUCUGGAGUUGCAGUAGAGCAGACCACCAUGAUUUUAUCUCCCUAAAGUUGCAAUGGAGUGUACCAAAAUAAUAAAUCCUAUACCUCUGAAGUUGCAGUAGGUCGGACUAAAUCUACCAUAACAAAUCCUAUCUCCCUGAAGAUGCAGUGGAGCAAAUUGAAGACCGACUACAAGUCUUAUCUCCCUGAAGUUGUAGUGGAGCAGACUGUCGAUAACGGAUCUUAUCAUAUUAAAACCUUAUCUUCUUGAAGUUACGUGAAGCAGGUUGAAGCAACAAGUCUUAUCUCCCUGACGUUGCAGUAGAGUAGAUUAAAACCACGGAUCUCGUCCCCCUGAAGUUGCAAUAGAAUGGAUUGAAGCUACGAGCUGUAUCUCUCUGAAGUGCAGUGGAGUGGAUUGAAGCAACAAGACACAGUGGAUUGGAAUGAGGCUACCUGAAGAAGAGAAGCACUAGAAGAAGUCAAGACUCGGCGAGACCGGGUAAAUUUGGUCUUUCUUGGUCUUUGCUCUAUUCUCAUUACACGACAACGAGGAAAGAGGGGCAGCUGUACAAGCCCAAAUUUGCCCGGGGCCCAAGAACCCAAUGCACCCAAACCUCAGCUUAAUUACAAAUUUAACUCAGCAGACCCAACCCACCUAAACACCAACCCAACACCCAUGACCCAAACCUCAAUCCAAUAACACCUAGCCCAACAAGAUUAAACCCAAACCCGAGGCCCAAUAUCCAACCAAAAAAAAAUGAAGGCCCAGUAGCCCAACAUGUUUGAGACUUUUUCAGAAAAAAUGAAACCCUAGCCUACUGCCUAACCCUAGCCGCCUCUGCCUCCUCUAACAUCUUCUAGUAUGGCCGCCGCUCGUAGCCUCUGCCACCACCACCUUUGACGCCGAGCCGCCCGUCAAUCACCUACUCCAUCAACGUCAACACCUGCAAACAAGAGAAAAAGCAAUAGCAAAUAAUAGCAAAAAUAUUGUAAAAAAUGGCUAUAAAGCCAUAACCACCACUGUAAAUGGGGUACUCCCUCCCCCCCCGAUUUUUGUAUAAAAAAAUAUUAGCAGGGAAAUAAAGAAAAAAAGAUUGAAGGUGAUUUUUUCUUUUCUUUUCUUUUCGAUUUUGUAGACCCGUUUUUCUGUUCUCUUUUCUUUUUUCGUUUACACGUAUGUAAAUAAAGGUAGUAAAUAAAAGGAAAGAAUGAAGACUUACCCAUUUCGCCUUUCAGUUGCGCCGCCGUCGGGGUCUGCUCAUCGUUGAAAUCGGCCCCGAAAGGUCGAGUUAGGGGGUCCUUCGUCUUGAUUUUUGGGCCAAACGAAUAUAGCCUUCGAUUGGGUCUUAAAACGGGGACUAGAAUGCCCAUUUUGCGCAACGCCGGCCACUGUCCACGGUAGCGCUAUGGCGGCGCUAAGAAGACCCAAAGGCCGAACGUUUGAGAGGGAUGAGGAAAGGUUUUUUUUUGUUUUUUUUUAAAUUAGUGGCUGAAAUGUUUUAUAUUUUCAUAUAGUUUUUAUAUACAUAUAUAUAUAUAUUCUUAUAUGCACAUACUUAUGUUUUUUUUAUACUUUAUAUAUAUAUACACCUAAACAUGCAUACUUUUUUANNNNNNNNNNNNNNNNNNNNNNNNNNNNNNNNNNNNNNNNNNNNNNNNNNNNNNNNNNNNNNNNNNNNNNNNNNNNNNNNNNNNNNNNNNNNNNNNNNNNAAUUUAUAUUGUUAUUAAUUGUUUUAUUUGAUAUUUAUUUAUUUGCUUAUCAUUAUUUUUAUGAAAUGCUUUAGUUCUUUUUACUUACUCAUUAUUUCAUGUAUAAUUUUUUUUAUAUAUGUGUCCUUUUUAUUGUUGCUCGUAUUAUUUUACUUACAUUAUCAUAAUUGUCAUUCCAUUACGUUAAUUUUCACCCAGAUUCAAAAAAAGAAAUUUUAAAAAUAUAAAUAAUACUCGGUAUUUGGGAUCUUCGAGAGAAUCGAGUCCUAACGUAUUGGGUUCCGAUUUUCUUCGUUGAAUCUAAAUAAUUGAGACUACUCUUUUUUUAUAUAUAUAAAAAAACAUAAAUAAAAGCUCAUUAUCGGGAAUUCAAUACGUUGUGUCCUAACGCAUUGGAUAUGAUACAUUGUUUUCUCGAGAUGAGGAUUUUUCUAAAAAAAUAAAAAUAAGGCAAUGUUUUGAGUUUGGGAAAUUCGAGAAAACGUGCCCUAAUGUGCUGGGUUUCGAUUUCUCGUUUAGCCAAAUAUUCUCUUAAAUCUUAAUCUAUGUCAUUUAAGUUUUUUUAGGAUCGUAUUUUAAAUCUCUUUAAAGUUUUCAGUUUUUCGACGCUAAGACAUUAAGUAAUCAACUAGGUACCAAUUUUGGGCGUAUCGAGCGUGCUAAUCCUUCCUCGUGCGUAACCGACUCCCGAACCCGUUUUUCUGAAUUUCGUGGACCAAACUUGUUGUUUUAAUAAAAUCAAAUCAUUUAUUAAAACAACCACUUUUUGAGGUGAUCCGAUCACACCUUAUCAAAAAAGAUUGGUGGCGACUCCCACUUUCGUUUUCAUUUUUCAAAACCCAAGUCGACCCCUUUUUAUCAAAAAAAUGGUGUCAACAACAAUAACAAUAGAAGCACAUCAAAGUCAAAGCACAUAGGCUUUAAGUUCAUUGUUAUUAUAAUAAAAGUUCAGGGUGGUUAGAUGUCUAUAAAGUAUAUUGAGACGAACUCCAUGAUUACGGAUUCGCUUAUUAAGUGACUACCACCCAAAGUUUUUUUCCUGAGCACACUGUUGAUAUGGGUGUAAUGUCAUUUAAGAAUAUUUGAUUUUAGUAGGAGUUUGUACUUUUAAAUGUUUUUAUGUUAUAAACACAUUUUCAAUUAUUUUAGUUUACGAAUAUUAAGUUUAUUUUUUAUAGAAAUAAAGUUUUUUUGGUAAAGUUUGAUCUCACUAAGGUUAAUAAGGACCAGUUAGAAUAUGCAUGUUUGAAUCAUAUUACAUAUAAUUUUCAUGUUACACAUCCAUACUUGAUCUAUGUCAUUUGGUUGUGCUAAUAUAUGUGAUUAGGGAUGUAUUUAAUUAUGAUAUAUGUAACAAAAGUUGCAUUCGUUCUAUGUUAACAUAAUUAAUGGACGAGAUUGUUCGAAAUAUCUUUUGGAUAUGAUAGUAAAAUUUUGAGCUCAUAAGAUUAUAUAAUAACAUGUAAUUAUAAAGUAAUCGGUAUAUAUCAAAAGUCUUUCCCACAUUCAUCAACUAGAAAUCAGAGCUCACCAAAUGUCUAUUCUUUUCAAUCUGAACCGACUCUACAAUCACUUAUUGCUCAUGGUCAUCAGCCUAUAAACCCAGGAGCAUUGUUAACUUCUAAAUCCAAAACACUAAUAUCAGCAUCCAACCCUACAAUGAUAGUCUUAUUGACUCAUUUAAACAAGUUUCCUUUGUCAAUCUAUAUUCCGUAUUUGGUAAUCUCCAGUAUGAAUUCAGAAUUUAGGAUAGCUGGAAUAAGAAUAGCAGCAAAGAUGCAAAGGGAAACGACUUGUAGGAGGAGGAAGAACCUUCUUUUGGGUACAGACCUGUAUAGCAUAUAAUAGGAUGUCCUGUAUAAUGUCACGAGAGCUAGUACCGUUGCCAAGCAGUAAUUAGUAAUGCUGAGUCUAGAAUAGGAAACGGAUCCAGGAGUCGAAAGAGAGAAAAAAUACUGAAGUUCGAGUGUCCGUAUGGAAACAGCAACUAAAAGCAUGUAACAGGUCCCAAACAAGGAAAGUGUUAUGAGAAUAAACAAGCAGAUUGAACGGCUGGGUAGGAGAUAGGCAGUUAAAACAGUUGCUGCCCAAAAGGUUAAAGUGUUGUAUAACCAAAACAUUGUGGACACGUCUAGUAUAUUUUUU
rnacentral:lncRNA from 1 species